rnacentral:rRNA from 1 species
CGAAGGGUGCAAGCGUUAAUCGGGAAUUACUGGGCGUAAAGCGCGCGUAGGUGGCUUGAUAAGUUGGAUGUGAAAUCCCCGGGCUCAACCUGGGAACUGCAUCCAAAAACUGUCUGGCUAGAGUGCGGUAGAGGGUAGUGGAAUUUCCAGUGUAGCGGUGAAAUGCGUAGAUAUGGAAGAACACCAGUGGCGAAGGCGACUACCUGGACUGACACUGACACUGAGGUGCGAAAGCGUGGGAGCAAACAGGACUU